rnacentral:rRNA from 1 species
GAUGAACGCUCGCGAUAGGCUUAACACAUGCAAGUCGAGGGGCAGCACAAGGUAGCUUGCUAUCUGGGUGGCGACCGGCGCACGGGUGCGUAACGCGUAUGCAACUUGCCCUAUACAGGAGGAUAACCCGUCGAAAGACGGACUAAUACUGCGUAUGCUCACAACUUGGCAUCAAGUGGUGAGGAAAGAAAUUCGGUAUAGGAUAGGCAUGCGUCCCAUUAGCUUGUUGGUGAGGUAACGGCUCACCAAGGCAACGAUGGGUAGGGGAACUGAGAGGUUUAUCCCCCACACUGGUACUGAGACACGGACCAGACUCCUACGGGAGGCAGCAGUGAGGAAUAGUGGUCAAUGGGCGCGAGCCUGAACCAGCCAAGUCGCGUGAAGGAUGACUGUCUUAUGGAUUGUAAACUUCUUUUAUACGGGAAUAACAAGAGUCACGUGUGACUCCCUGCAUGUACCGUAUGAAUAAGCAUCGGCUAACUCCGUG